ensembl:misc_RNA Metazoa_SRP Metazoan signal recognition particle RNA
GCCAGGCGUGGUGGUGCAUGCCUGUAAUCCCAGCUACUUGGGAGGCUGAGGCAGGAGAAUCACUUGAACCCAGGAAGUGGAGGUUGCAGUGAGCCGAGAUCACGCCACUGCAUUCCGGCCUGGGUGACAGAGUGAGACUCUGUCUUAA